rnacentral:sRNA from 1 species
ACUUUAAUUUUAAAUCACACACAUACCGUCACGCAGUCCGGGGUGCUCAACUUUUUAAUGAAUUCAUUAAAUUGUUAGGGUCGGGUUCUAGCGGGGUAUGUGGAGGCUUAAC